rnacentral:tRNA from 1 species
UAUAUCUUAGUAUAAAAUGUAUAUAAAUUUUUGAUAUUUAAGGAAAUAGGAGUGUUCUAUUAGAUAUAG